UACGUAGGGUGCGAGCGUUGUUCGGAAUUACUGGGCGUAAAGCAUGCGUAGGCGGUUUGGUAAGUUAGAUGUGUAAUCCCCGGGCUCAACUCGGGAGCUGCAUUUAAGACUGCUAGACUAGAAUAUGGUAGGGGGUAAUGGAAUUCUUAGUGUAGGGGUAAAAUCCGUAGAUAUUAAGAGGAACACCAGAAGCGACGGCGAUUACCUGGGCCAUUAUUGACGCUGAGGCGCGAAAGCGUGGGUAGCAAACAGG
rnacentral:rRNA from 1 species